AGUGUCCACCAUUGGAUGUGUCCUCCCGACCCAACUCACACUGUCGUCCCCCUUUCUUCUCCCUCUCUCUCUCUCUCUCUCUCUCUGGAGCAAAGAAUGAUUUCUUGCCUCGGUGAACCCUUCAUGUAGAUCUUAUCCAUGGAUCAGAUCUUAGGAGAACCAAGUCAUGUGUGAGAUCAGCUAAAGAAAAGAAGAAGAAGAAGAAGAUGAUGAUGAUGAUGACAGGAGAGGGGGUAGAAGUAGAAGCUAGAAUUACACACCAUGUGGAGGCCACUGUGGUGCACAGGUAGAUCUUAAUCCCAGAUCUACUUUAGCUGCAGGAGCACCUACCUUGACAGAGAAAUAAAUCUUGGUGGAUUAGCCAGCUAGAUCUGACAUGGCGAUGUCAUCCACACAACUGUUCCACCUUGAUUAAUCCCAAGCUGCAGCAUCGGAAGCAGUGAUCAUACACAUCGGUAAACAUGGAAGACGGUCGACUUUGGACGGAUACGCAAGCUUUCCUCGGAAAAGGAUGUUUAACCAUGCACAGAAAGAUCCAUUUCUCCUUCCUACUGAUACACACACGUGAAGCAUUCCCUCGGCUGCAUGCCUCACCUCCUCCUCUUAUCUGCCGCUGGGCUACGGUGGAGGGACAGUGACGAGUCACUGCAUGCAAACAAACCUCUCUCUUCCUCUUUCUUCGCCAGCGCAAAUGUUUCAUGGCCUUUGUGAUGUGGGCUGGUGGUUAGCUUAAUUUAAUGCAAUUUGGCUAA